rnacentral:misc_RNA from 1 species
GGCUCAUUCUCAACUAACCGCCACGGAGGACUCAUUUUUCUAACAAAGAGCCAAAAACUCUUAACGGCUGCCAAAUAUCGUUUCGCUUCACUUCUCAAUUCCUUUUUUAGUUUUUCUUUUUCGAGCUUUUUCUUGCUAUUGGAAACUAAUUUCGAUUAUGGAUGAAACCGAUGGAAAUUUCUCAUCGCCGCCGGCUGAUAUUCCGUCCGGUUUGAAUCGGAUUAAGACUCGUCCAGUCCCUUCCAAGGACCAGUUCAGUUCAAAACCAGAUGACUUGACUCAGUCCAAGACUUAUGUAGCUUCAAGGCCUCCCGUGAAGGGGAAGCAGAAGCAGAAGCAGAAGAGCCUGUUUCAAGGACGUGCUAAAGUUUCUUCUUCUAGAGGAGAAGAACUGUGUAAAGGAAAGAAGUUAACUCGAUGGUUCACGUCAUAUUUUUCCAAGGAUAUUAGCCAAGUUAUCAGUGAUGUUUCUGCGAAUAUUGAGGAGAGUAGCUUGGAAGCUAAGACACUUGACAAAAAGGAACAAGCAGGAAGCAAAAUUUUCAAUGAUGAGAAUUAUCUAAAUGGAAAGCAAUCUUCUUUGGAGAGUUUAAGCCGGAGUAAAAUGCCAAAGGGCUUAAAAAGUUUUUCCCAUGAGUUAGGACCAAGGGGCAGCAUUCCACCUGCCUUCCCUCGGGCUCAUAGCUACAGUGAUUUGAAGGAGCUGUUGGGUUCUUUGCAUUCAAGAUUUGAUGCUGCUAAAGAAUUGGUGAAUGCAGAACUGGCUAGUUUUGCAGGCGAUGUCAUGGAUGUCCUUGAGAAAAUUGACUCUUCAUUGCAAGAAGACUUGAAAAUGGGAGAGGAUCUUCUGAUUCUGGCACAGCUGUGCAUGGAGAUGAACUGCUCUCAGUUUCGCAUCAAGUGUCAAAUAAUCGUUCAAGAUCUGACUGAGAAAAGACAACAGUGUCAAACUGGACUACUGAAGUGGCUAUUUACUCGCAUGCUUUUUAUAUUGACACGCUGCACUAGACUAUUGCAGUUUCAGAAGGACACCAAACCUAUUGAUGAGAAAUCACUUUGUAAGCUCACAAAAUGUCUAGAAAGUGUUCCUUCUGUUGAAAUGAGUUGGGUUGCCAAACAUGGGAUUGGUGAUUCUGAUAUUGGUUAUGCUUUAAAUCAGAAAGGUGACAUCAAACAAAAGUUGCAGGGAGAAAAUAAUUUAUCUUCUCUUCCUGAGGCAGUGUGCUGUGGUUCUCAAGAGCUGGAUGAUCUGAGUGGCGUAACUUCCAUAAAGGAUUCUCUGGAACAAAAGUUGCCAUCUCAAAAUUCCAACAAAGAGCCCCUUUUACAACUGCAACAGUUUUGUCAUGCUGAUAAAAGCUCCAUUAGAAAUUCAAUAAACAAUUCCAGUUGUUCACUUCAUGAUCAGAGGCAAUGCUUAAAUGAUUCUCUUCAUGAACAGGAGCGAGUUUUAGAUGUAUCUGAUUCAGUGAUCUGUAGAAUAUGUGAAGAAAUUGUGCCUAUUUCUCAUCUAGAAUCUCAUUCUUAUAUAUGUGCAUAUGCAGAUAAGUGCGACUUAAAUUGUCUAGAUGUAGAUGAACGCCUUUUGAACCUUGCAGAGAUAUUGGAACAGAUUGUAGAGUCACGUAAUAUUGAUGUUCAUCCAUCAUAUAGCCCUGAAAAUUCAAGAACACAAACUGUAAAUUCUGUCACUGCUGAAGUUUGCUCUCCCAAGAUAAGUGAAUGGCGAAAUAAAGGUGUUGAAGGAAUGUUUGAAGAUAUACAUGAGAUGGAUACUGCAUUUAUAGAUGAUUCUCAUCUAUCCCCUGCUAACUUAAAAGGCCACUUCAGUAUAAAGUUAUGUAAUAAUGGUGCAACCUCCUCAACUGGAAGCAUGACAUCAGUUUCCUCCACUAAUACCCCAAAAGCUGGCCAUUUUGUUUCCUUCUGGUUAGAACAUAACAAUCCUUCAGAGUUAGAGGACAUCCAACAGAUGAUUGACCUUGCAGACAUAGCCCGCUGUGUGGCAAGCACAAAUCUCUCAAAGGAAGGGUCAUAUGAGUUUUUGCUUGCUUGUAUGCAAGAUCUACAGGAUGUUUUACAUAAUAGCAAGCUCAAAGCUCUUGUAAUAGACACUUUUGGGGGUCGGAUAGAGAAACUUCUGCGGGAAAAGUAUAUACUUGCUUGUGACAUAAUGGAUACUAAAAGUCCUGCAAGUGACGCAAAACUUAAGGAAAAUUCUAGACUUUUAUUCGAUAAUGCAUCUCAAAGUAGUGCAACGUCAACUCCUGUACACUCAUCACAUAAAGAAAGGACAAGCAUUGAUGAUUUUGAAAUCAUCAAACCAAUAAGUAGAGGUGCCUUUGGGAAAGUCUUUCUGGCACGCAAACGGAUAACAGGAGAUUUAUUUGCAAUUAAGGUUCUCAAGAAACUGGACAUGUUGUGCAAGAAUGAUGUUCAGCGCAUAUUAGCAGAACGUAACAUACUAAUAACAGUUCGAAACCCAUUUGUGGUAAUAUUAAAGUUUAGAUUGCUUUGGACUAUGACAUGUUGUGAUUUAAGCACAAUAUGUAAAACACACAUUCUUUUUGUGAAUUUUUAUUUAUUGUUUUUUAUGAUACCAACUAUAUUCAUGAUAAGUUUGUCUAGCAUUUGCUUGAGCCCCUAAUCCUUGCACAUGUUGACCACUAUAUUUCUCCUUGAAUUGCCAUCACAUCAUCUUUUAGUGGUCUUAUGAAAUGAUGGUUAAUGUUUUCUUACCAGAAUUUCUGAAGCUAUGAAUUUGAAAAUUGGAUAUAAAUUGUGGUCUUCAUUACAGGUUCGAUUUUUUUAUUCCUUCACCUGUAGCGAUAACCUCUAUUUGGUUAUGGAAUAUCUCAAUGGAGGUGAUCUAUAUUCUUUGCUGAGAAAAGUCGGUUGCCUUGAGGAAGAUGUAGCCCGUAUAUAUAUUGCAGAACUGGUUUGUUAGAAUAAAGCCAUAUGUGCCCAUAUAUCUCCUUAUUUAGUUUUUCUACUUUGUUUAACUUGAGGAGGUUCUACCUGUUACAGGUUCUUGCUUUAGAGUAUCUCCACUCUCUUGGAAUUGUGCAUCGUGAUCUGAAACCAGACAACAUACUGAUUGCGCAUGAUGGGCACAUCAAGCUUACAGACUUUGGGCUGUCAAAAAUUGGCCUUAUAAACAGCACCAUUGAAUUGUCAGGACCUGAGAUGGAUAGAAAUAAAGUUUCAGGUGCUCAUAGCCCACACACUCAACAAGCAGAAGACAGAAGUCGGCACUCAGCUGUUGGAACACCUGACUAUCUUGCACCUGAAAUUCUUCUUGGGACUGAGCAUGGUUAUGCUGCAGACUGGUGGUCUGCGGGAAUAAUUUUAUUUGAACUUUUAACUGGAAUACCACCCUUCACUGCUGAGAGUCCUGAGAUAAUUUUUUACAACAUUCUUAAUAGAAAAAUCCCUUGGCCUCCUGUUCCAGACAGCAUGUCUUACGAGGCCCAAGACUUCAUUAACAGGUUAAUUACUCAUGAUCCAAAUCAACGCUUAGGAGCGAAUGGAUCAACAGAGGUUAAAUCACAUCCUUUUUUCAGAGGAGUGGAUUGGGACAACCUUGCAUUGCAAAAGGCCGUCUUUGUACCUAGCCCUGACAGUGCAGAUGACACGAGCUAUUUUGUGUCACGAUUUUCUCAAAUAUCUAGCGGAAUGCCAAAUGAUCAAAAUAGUAGCUGUUCUGAUACUGAAGAUUAUGGCUCAUCCUCAAAUACUGGAGACGAGAUGGAUGAGUGUGGUGACCUGGCAGAGUUUGAUUCUUCUCCACUCGCCUUAAUAAAUUUUUCUUUCAAGAAUCUGUCACAGUUGGCAUCUAUUAAUCACGACGUGCUCUUACAAACCGGGAGGGAUUCAGGAAAGCAUUCUCCCUCCAGAGCUCCGGACACAGAACAUAUUUAACAGGUAAUUUCGGUACAAUGAUUACGUGCUAAGAAAAUUAAAAGAAAGGGAUAAAUACUCCUCUCUGUGCGUGUGUGUGAGACAGUAGGAGAGAGCUCAUAGCUUUAGUCAUGUAAAUAAAAUGAUAAAAUAUUUUUCUUUGUACAGAAAACAAUAAAAUCAAAGGAAAUAAAAAUACUCCUUUUCAUUGUAUUUUGAAGUUGACAAAUGAUUUUUCUCCCCUCAAUUUAAGUGUGUGAAUAUCAAAGCCUACCAUCCAACAUUGUGAUGAGAUAUUUUUUAUUGAGGAAAGAAGCUCAUUUUUGUCCUUGAAUUUUUUGUUCAUUUUUAAUCUUGUUCACUUUUAAGUAUCCCAAUUUUUAAAUUUAAACUCAAAUUUACCCCUUUCUACAUGGAAGUAAUUAAUUCAUAUUUUUAAGCAAUUAAUAUUAAAAAAAAUGAACUAAUUUAAAUUUAACUCAAAAUGUUUGGCUAAAUUGGAUUAAAAAUUUUAAAAUAGACAAACAGGGGCAAAAAUGAGGGUUUAUCUUUUUAGCAAUAUGGUACUUAAGGUGGCCACCAAUUCAAUCAGUUCCGUUUCUGUUUUAAGGGGAUUAAAUUUAAACUGUAAAAUCUCUUUAAUUUUUUUUAAUAUUUUAACAGUUAAAAUUUUAAUUUUUUUAGAAGAAAAAUUCAA